rnacentral:rRNA from 1 species
CAAUAGCGUAUAUUAAAGUUGUUGCAGUUAAAAAGCUCGUAGUUGGAUUUCUGGUUGAAGCGACCGGUCGGGCGUUGAUUCGUCUGCACUGGAGUCGGUUUUGGCCAUCCUCUAGGAAAGUGCGUCUGGUAUUAAGUUAUCGGGCGUAUGAUCCUGGUCUUUUACUGUGAAAAAAUUAGAGUGUUUAAAGCAGGCCUUCGCCUUGAAUACAUUAGCAUGGAAUAAUAAGAUAGGACUUUGGUCUAUUUUGUUGGUUUGCAGACCGAAGUAAUGAUUAAUAGGGAUAGUUGGGGGUAUUUAUAUUCCGAUGUCAGAGGUGAAAUUCUUAGAUUUUCGGAAGAUAAACUUAUGCGAAAGCAUUUACCAAGGAUGUUNUCAUUNA